rnacentral:rRNA from 1 species
UACGUAGGCAGCGAGCGUUGUUCGGAGUUACUGGGCUUAAAGCGUGUGUAGGCGGACCCCUAAGUGUCUUGUGAAAUCCCACGGCUCACCCGUGGAACCGCUGGGCAUACUGGGGGUCUUGGGCCAUUCAGGGGCGACUGGAACAAGCGGUGGAGCGGUGAAAUGCGUAGAUAUCGCUUGGAACGCCGACGGUGAAAACAGGUCGCUGGGAAUGUGCCGACGCUGAGGCACGAAAGCCAGGGGAGCAAACGGG